rnacentral:rRNA from 1 species
GACAGAGGGUGCAAGCGUUGUUCGGAAUUACUGGGCGUAAAGCGCGCGCAGGCGGUCCUUUAAGUCUGAUGUGAAAGCCCACGGCUCAACCGUGGAGGGUCAUUGGAAACUGGGGGACUUGAGUGCAGGAGAGAAGAGUGGAAUUCCACGUGUAGCGGUGAAAUGCGUAGAGAUGUGGAGGAACACCAGUGGCGAAGGCGACUCUUUGGCCUGUAACUGACGCUGAGGCGCGAAAGCGUGGGGAGCAAACAGG